rnacentral:rRNA from 1 species
UACGUAGGGUGCGAGCGUUAAUCGGAAUUACUGGGCGUAAAGCGUGCGCAGGCGCGGCUCAAGUCAGGUGUGAAAUCCCCGGGCUUAACCUGGGAAUUGCGCUUGAAACUAGGUCGCUAGAGUGUGGCAGAGGGGGGUGGAAUUCCACGUGUAGCAGUGAAAUGCGUAGAGAUGUGGAGGAACACCGAUGGCGAAGGCAGCCUACUGGGCUGCACCUGACGCUGAGCCGCGAAAGCCAGGGGAGCGAACGGG